rnacentral:rRNA from 1 species
AGCAGCCGCCGUAAUUCCAGCUCCAAUAGCGUAUAUUUAAGUUGUUGCAGUUAAAAAGCUCGUAGUUGAAUUUCGGGGUUCUACCGUUGGUCGGGCUUUGUCUGUACUGGCGUGUAGAAUUUCUACCUUCUGGGGAACCAUCAUGUUAUUAAUUUAACGUGGUGGGAAACCAGGACCUUUACCUUGAAAAAAUUAGAGUGUUUAAAGCAGGCUCACGCUUGAAUACAUUAGCAUGGAAUAAUGAAAUAGGACGUUUGAUUCUAUUUUGUUGGUUUCUAGGAUCGACGUAAUGAUUAAUAGGGAUAGUUGGGGGCAUUAGUAUUCAAUUGUCAGAGGUGAAAUUCUUGGAUUUAU